GUGCUUGCUUUGGCAGCACGUAUACUAAAAUUGGAACGAUACAGAGAAGAUGACACACAAAUUCAUGAAGCAUUCCAUAUUUUU
rnacentral:snRNA from 1 species